CGUGAGUGCAAAGCCAGGGCUUGGACAGGGUAGCAGGUCUGAAAUUUAGGCGUAGGCGUUGGCAGCACGUCAAGGGAGCAGGCACUGCUCAUGCGCUGAAUGCCCACGGUUAGGCCUGCAGAGUCCAGGAUGCAAGUCAUUCUUUCUCCCCUUCUUCUUUCAGGUGGCACCGAUCCUCCACAUCCUGCGCAGCUGCACAUCGUCUGCGCAGCAGAGCACGUUUGUGCCCUUCCUGUGCCAGGCAGUGGUCAUCCUCGCCCGCUGUCACACUGAGGCCAUGAUUAACAACUUCUCCCGGCUGCUUGGACCCACAGACAGUGAGACGUGGAAGCGAAUCAGAGAGUUUUGCCUUCAACGGUGGAGCCAGUAGAAGAAAAGAAAGGAAAAGAAA